CUCCCCUUAGCUCAGUUGGUAGAGCAGCGGGUUUAUACUCCGUAGCAACAGAUAAUUGGCUGGUCACUGGUUCGAGUCCAGUAGGGGAGACCA
rnacentral:tRNA from 1 species